rnacentral:rRNA from 1 species
AUAUGCCUUUUGGUGGGGGACAACAGUUGGAAACGACUGCUAAUACCGCAUGAUGUCUACGGACCAAAGUGGGGGACCUUCGGGCCUCACGCCAAAAGAUUAGCCCAAGUGGGAUUAGCUAGUUGGUAAGGUAAUGGCUUACCAAGGCAACGAUCCCUAGCUGGUUUGAGAGGAUGAUCAGCCACACUGGGACUGAGACACGGCCCAGACUCCUACGGGAGGCAGCAGUGGGGAAUAUUGCACAAUGGGCGCAAGCCUGAUGCAGCCAUGCCGCGUGUGUGAAGAAGGCCUUCGGGUUGUAAAGCACUUUCAGUAAGGAGGAAAGGUUAAGUUUUAAUAGAGCUUAGCUGUGACGUUACUUACAGAAGAAGCACCGGCUAACUCCGUGCCAGCAGCCGCGGUAAUACGGAGGGUGCGAGCGUUAAUCGGAAUUACUGGGCGUAAAGCGUACGCAGGCGGUUUGUUAAGCGAGAUGUGAAAGCCCCGGGCUCAACCUGGGAACUGCAUUUCGAACUGGCAAACUAGAGUGUGAUAGAGGGUGGUAGAAUUUCAGGUGUAGCGGUGAAAUGCGUAGAGAUCUGAAGGAAUACCGAUGGCGAAGGCAGCCACCUGGGUCAACACUGACGCUCAUGUACGAAAGCGUGGGGAGCAAACAG